rnacentral:misc_RNA from 1 species
GUCUGUGUAUUGCCCUGUGCUUUGUAGCAUUUUACAAAGUCCCUCAGCGCGUGCACUGACUAGGUCACGGACUGGUCUUCCUCCCUGACGAGACCUGCACCAUUCCCGCCCUCCCUCCCUGGCGAGUCCUGCACCAGAGCCGCCGCGGAUGAUAAGGUUCUGAUCUUCUGUGUGGUGGCUGUGGCCGCGGCCGACAAGUCAGCGAGAAUUGCCAACCAUCAGUAUGGCAUCGAGGAGGACGGCUCAUACCAGUCCAACUACGAGACAACCAAUGGCAUCAGGGC